GAUGAACGCUGACAGAAUGCUUAACACAUGCAAGUCAACUGUGGCGGACGGGUGAGUAACGCGUAAAGAACUUGCCUCACAGAUAGGGACAACAUUUGGAAACGAAUGAUAAUACCUGAUACUGUGAGAGAGCUUUGCGUCCCAUUAGCUAGUUGGGGAGGUAACGGCUCACGAAGGCGAUGAUGGGUAGCCGGCCUGAGAGGGUGAUCGGCCACAAGGGGACUGAGUCACGGGCCUGACUGCAACGGGGGGCAUCAGUGGGGAAUAUUGAGCAAUAGGCCAAAGUCUGAUCCAGCAAUUCUGUGUGCACGGUGAAGUUUUCGGAAUGUAAAGUGCUUUCAGUAGUGAAUCGGUACCUACAGAAGAAGUGACGGCUAAAUACGUGCCAGCAGCCGCGGUAAUUC
rnacentral:rRNA from 1 species